AGUCGAUGAUGAGGAAAUUGGAUGUUUAGUGUAAUCUGAAAAUCAAUGAUUAUAACACUCAUUACUGCCUUCCUUCUGAGGCU